rnacentral:lncRNA from 1 species
GAGGAGGAGUAGUAAGAGAAGAGAGGAAGAUGAAAGCUCACAUUUUUCAUUGAGUUCUAUAGGGAGGACCUUGGAGGUGAAAAUGGUGCAUCAUGUUCCGAAGCAUUUGGUUAUUUUCUUCGGAUAUGCGGUUGCCCCUUAGGACAUAAUUCCUUAGUCCCGACAAUUCAACACCUUGCCUUAGUUGCUUGGUGCUUAUCCUCUCGGCCUCGGUAUGCAUCCAUGCCCAUCUUGCAUUUUCAUUUGUUUAUCCGGCAUCAUGGUCAUGGUGCUCCUCAUCAUGGUACAAUUGUGCACCUUCCUCUUCUUGGUGCAAAUGUGCAUCUUCCUCGCCUUCAUUAUCGUG